rnacentral:rRNA from 1 species
UACAGAGGGUGCGAGCGUUGUCCGGAAUCACUGGGCGUAAAGAGCUCGUAGGCGGUUUGUCGCGUCGAAUGUGAAAACCCGGGGCUCAACCCCGGGCCUGCAUUCGAUACGGGCAGACUAGAGUUCGGUAGGGGAGUCUGGAAUUCCUGGUGUAGCGGUGAAAUGCGCAGAUAUCAGGAGGAACACCGGUGGCGAAGGCGGGACUCUGGGCCGAUACUGACGCUGAGGAGCGAAAGCGUGGGGAGCAAACAGG